rnacentral:rRNA from 1 species
GUCUAUUUGAGGAUAUUUAUAGUCUAGCCUGCUCACUGACAUUAAUCGUUAAAAUAGCCGCGGUAUUCCUGACCGUGCAAAGGUAGCAUAAUCAUUAGUCUUUAAUUGAAGACUUGUAUGAAUGGUUGGACAAAGAAAAAUCUGUCUCUUUAUUUAAUAUUGAAUUUGACUUCUAAGUGAAAAGGCUUAGAUAUUCUGGAGGGACGAUAAGACCCUAUAAAGCUGUAUAAAUUUAAUGAUUUUAUAGAUUUUGUUGAUAUAAAAAUAGUUUUGAAAAAUUUAUUUGGUUGGGGCGACAAAAGUAUAAUUAUAAUAACUGCUAAUAUUUAAUACAAUUAUUUUUGUUUAGAAAUUUUAGUUGAUCCUUUUUAAAGAUUAAAAGAUCAAGUUACUUUAGGGAUAACAGCGUAAUUUUUUCUGAGAGUACUUAUCAAAGAAAAAGUUUGCGACCUCGAUGUUGAAUUAAAAUGUCUUUACAGUGCAGCAGCUUAGAAGAAGGUCUGUUCGACCUUUAAAUUUUU